CCCACACCUCAUUUCUCCUUCUUCUCCGUGUCAUUCCCUCCCUCAAUCUCUCCGACUCUCUCGAACCCUCUAUCUCUCUCAUUUUUCUGCCAUUUUCGUGCCUUGUCCCCCUCACCCCAGCUCUCAUCUCUUUCUCUGUACAUCCAAAACCACCACCACCACAAACCACUUUAUCACUCUGGCAAACAUCACUCUCAAGCAACCCUCAUCCUAAAUUCGUGACUGAGACAAGACCACUAUCUCUCCCUCUCAUCACAGUAUCCCUUAUAUCUCUCAGUAAAUCACCAUCGAGACAUCACCACCACCACACAACACAUUCAUCCUACUGGCGAACCCAAAUCAUCACACCACUAGAUUUACCAUCAUCUCACCCCUAUGAACCUAACCCCAAGUUUGGGUUACUGGAAUUGUGCCUUAGAGCUCAAAUAGAGCUCUGUUUUAGAAUUGAAUUUCCGACAAGUUUCCAUGAAUCCUGACUAAGGGUUAGAAGCUGUGAGACGAAGGGAUGACUUCCCUAAAAUUUUGGGAAACCCAAGAUCCGUGGCCAUCUAACCUUCUUCAUAUCCAUUUUUCUGCUAACGCCGAUGUUGACUCAACCCCCAAUAGGCCUGUACUUGCGAGCGCGUGGGCUGUGCGUGGUGCUGUAGUAAUCGACGCUUGGAGCACACGUGCCUCCGUCGGAAGUACUAUGCGGCAUCGGCAAACAAUGACUUUUCCGGCAACCCAUCUCGACACGUACGGUGGCACAUGGCCUCCUAGGCCGCCGCCCGUGGCGGAGCGUGGGGAAAACCCAAGGUCCCUCCUUAGUUUUUUAACGUGCCGAAUCCAAAUCCGCUAUCUGUUUUUCCAAACUCUAUAGUUUUAGCAGAGUUGUAUUAAAUGGUCUCUAUUUGUGUUUAGGUGCGUCGGUGGGAAGUGACACCCUUUUCCCUGGUUCGAGUUGCUCCCUUGCAAUGGAAUACUAUGAGUGAACCCCUUCUUAACUUGCAUGUUUUUAUAAAAUAUUAGGCUUGCUUUCACAAAGAACAUGAUUUCAUGAUUUUAUGUUUUAUGCAUUAUUUAUGAUUUAUCAAGUUUACGUUUUACGAAAGGUUAUGAAUUAUUGGAUUUUCGUAUAUGAAAUUCUAUGGAUUUACGAAUAUGAAUUAUCAUGGAUUUAUGAGAUCAGGCUUUGAGCUUUUGAGCUCCGGAUUUGAUAUGAUAUUUUUGAGAUACGCUUUCAAUGCUUAUCUAGUGGCUUAUCAUGCAGCACAUACACACAACCAAGUAUGCAGACGUCUAUGGCCAUAAGACACAGUUGAUGAGAUUUAUGACAUACUCCCAGCUUCACUAGCCCGUGGCUAGUGUCGGUGCGUUAUGUAUAUAUAUAUAUAUGUAUAUGUAUGUAUGUAUGUAUGUAUAUUUCUUCUCUGGCGUCGUAUAGCUUCACCUUCAGGCAGUGUCAUAUAGAUUCAGCUUCGGGUGAUGGUUAUGCCUUCGAGCCACUAUAAUACCCCUAGUUGAGUACAUCAUUGAUGAGAUUUAUGGAUUGGCCUUCGGGCAACGA